GCCUACGGGUGGCAGCAGUGGGGAAUAUUGGACAAUGGGCGAAAGCCUGAUCCAGCCAUGCCGCGUGUGUGAAGAAGGCCUUCGGGUUGUAAAGCACUUUCAGUGGGGAAGAAAGCCUUGGGGCUAAUACCCUCGAGGAAGGACAUCACCCACAGAAGAAGCACCGGCUAACUCCGUGCCAGCAGCCGCGGUAAUACGGAGGGUGCGAGCGUUAAUCGGAAUUACUGGGCGUAAAGCGCGCGUAGGCGGUCUGAUAAGCCGGUUGUGAAAGCCCCGGGCUCAACCUGGGAACGGCAUCCGGAACUGUCAGGCUAGAGUGCAGGAGAGGAAGGUAGAAUUCCCGGUGUAGCGGUGAAAUGCGUAGAGAUCGGGAGGAAUACCAGUGGCGAAGGCGGCCUUCUGGACUGACACUGACGCUGAGGUGCGAAAGCGUGGGUAGCAAACAGGAUUAGAUACCCGGGUAGUC
rnacentral:rRNA from 1 species